GUGUCAGCAGCCGCGGUAAUACGUAGGGUGCAAGCGUUGUCCGGAAUUAUUGGGCGUAAAGGGCUCGUAGGCGGUCCAUCGCGUCGGGAGUGAAAAGCUGGGGCUUAACCCCAGUCCUGCUUCCGAUACGGGUGGACUAGAGGUAGGUAGGGGAGAUCGGAAUUCCUGGUGUAGCGGUGAAAUGCGCAGAUAUCAGGAGGAACACCGGUGGCGAAGGCGGAUCUCUGGGCCUUACCUGACGCUGAGGAGCGAAAGCAUGGGGAGCAAACAGGAUUAGAUACCCUCGUAGUCC
rnacentral:rRNA from 1 species